rnacentral:rRNA from 1 species
GACGAACGCUGGCGGCGUGCUUAACACAUGCAAGUCGAACGAAGAGCGAUGGAAGCUUGCUUCUAUCAAUCUUAGUGGCGAACGGGUGAGUAACGCGUAAUCAACCUGUCCUUCAGAGGGGGACAACAGUUGGAAACGACUGCUAAUACCGCAUACGAUCUAACCUCGGCAUCGAGGAUGGAUGAAAGGUGGCCUCUAUUUAUAAGCUAUCACUGAAGGAGGGGAUUGCGUCUGAUUAGCUAGUUGGAGGGGUAACGGCCCACCAAGGCGAUGAUCAGUAGCCGGUCUGAGAGGAUGAACGGCCACAUUGGGACUGAGACACGGCCCAGACUCCUACGGGAGGCAGCAGUGGGGAAUCUUCCGCAAUGGACGAAAGUCUGACGGAGCAACGCCGCGUGAGUGAUGACGGCCUUCGGGUUGUAAAGCUCUGUUAAUCGGGACGAAAGGCCUUCUUGCGAAUAGUUAGAAGGAUUGACGGUACCGGAAUAGAAAGCCACGGCUAACUACGUG